rnacentral:rRNA from 1 species
GAUGAACGCUGGCGGCGUGCCUAAUACAUGCAAGUCGAGCGAACAGAUAAGGAUCUUGCUCCUUUGACGUUAGCGGCGGACGGGUGAGUAACACGUGGUUAACCUACCUAUAAGACUGGUAUAACUCCGGGAAACCGGGUCUAAUGCCGGAUAACAUUUAGAACCGCAUGGUUCUAAAGUGAAAGAUGGUUUUGCUAUCACUUAUAGAUGGACCCGCGCCGUAUUAGCUAGUUGGUAAGGUAACGGCUUACCAAGGCAACGAUACGUAGACGACAUGAGAGGGGGAUCGGACACACGGGAAGAGAGACACGGACGAGAGUACAACGGGAGGCAGCAGAAGGGAAUAGACCGCAAUGGGCGAAAGACGGACAGAGCAACGCAGAGGGAGGGAUGAAGGUCUUAGGAUCGUAAAAAUGUGAUAUAAGGGAAGAACAAAAGUGUAAGAAAAUGUGGAAGUAAUGACGGUACAUAAAAAGAAAGCAACGGCUAACUACGUG